rnacentral:SRP_RNA from 1 species
GGUUAGGCCCUAUGCGAUGGUACGUCCGUGAACUCCGCCAGGUCUGGAAGGAAGCAACGGUAGCGAGAUUGUCCAGGUGCCAUAGGUCACCUAACCUCC